AUUGAAUGGACAGGAAAUAUGAAUUAUUAUUAACCAACAGAAAAAUCCACAUCAAACCGAUAGGUUGCAUCUCAGUGAUAUGUGAAUAUAAAAUAGUGAAUAUUGCAAAUUGAAAAUACUUAAUUGCCACAACUGUUUAUUCAGCGCAUGCGCUUGUUGGCCACGACACAGGGUUUCCUGUCAACAUGGGAAGGGCUGGCAGUGGCAGGCAACAUGUGUUCCAGUUCCUCUCCGGUUGAAGUUUUCUCAACUUUGUUUGCAGGAUGGCCACAUUUCGAAAAGAUAAGAGCACCACAUCUCCCAUGUUCUUCAAGCACUGUGGUUUCUCCUUAGACCAGGACAAUCUUCCCUGAGUGACACCAGGAGCUUCACCAUAGGAGACCCCAAAAGGGAGUUGUGCCUUAAAGUCACGCCUUGUAAGAUAUCAUCACAAAGCUGACCUUGUUGGGGGAAGGCUCUGGGUGACGCUGAGGACACAUUGUUGACGGAUCAUGACCUCUGACAUCCUCAGGCACCGCAAAGAUGCUGCUCUUCGAGGACUUCCAGUAUUUCUCUGUGAGGACCCCAAGGAACUUUUCAAAGAGUGCCUUGAGGCCGAUGCAGAUGGUGUGGCUGUGGGCAUUCUAUAUGUUCGUGAAGACUGUGGUCCAGGUACAUCUACGCGAGUGCAAAACAUUGCCGUCAUCCUCGAGGAGAGUUGUUUUGCAAGAUAUCCCAGAUACCCCAACUGCUCUGGCAUACCUUUUUGGCUUCCUUUAUGCCCUGAAUAUCUCCUACCCAAAGGCUCUGAAGUAUACCUUCGAUACUUUGCAAAAUGUCUUCAUGGAGAUUUGUCUCAAAUGUACACGGCGUGUACAAUCUCUGAAAAACAAACUGGCACUGUAAGACUGACGGCGAGGCUGUAAUGUCAAGUUCCCAUGACUGCCUAUGUUCUCACAAUGUUGGAGUAUGGCUAUAUUUCUGAGGGAAAAAAUGUGGAUGACAUUUGAACUUAGCUUAUACUGUAAGACUGAAGACGAGGCUGUAUUUUGAAAUGUGUGGCGGUUACAUCAAGUUCCUUUGAUGGCCUAUGCUCCCACGGUGUUGGAGUAUGACUACCUUGUAUUUCUGAGGGGAAAAUGUGGAAGACAUUUUAACAAACUUGCACUUGAAGAGUGAAUACAAGGUUGUAUUUUGAGAUGCAUACUGGUUACGUCAAGUUCCCCUUGAUGACCCAUCUUCUCACAGUGUGGAGUAUCGCUGAGUUUUACCUCCUUACUUGGGCUAUACUAGCCUGGUUCUCACCGAUGGUGCGGGUGUGUACACAAACCAGCAUCUGGUAGCGUUGCCAUUAACAUGCUCUUCUGGAGUCGAAAAUAAAUGGUGCAUUUAUUGCAAUUCACCACCAACAUAUUUCAACUCGCCACCAACAAAUUCCUCCAAAAAUGUUUUCGGUUAAUCUCUAGAGUCAAUGUGAGCAGCCGUUGAU